rnacentral:rRNA from 1 species
GGGGAAUUUUCCGCAAUGGGCGAAAGCCUGACGGAGCAAUACCGCGUGGGGGAGGAAGGCUCUUGGGUUGUAAACCUCUUUUCUCAGGGAAGAAAAAAAUGACGGUACCUGAGGAAUAAGCAUCGGCUAACUCCGUGCCAGCAGCCGCGGUAAUACGGAGGAUGCAAGCGUUAUCCGGAAUGAUUGGGCGUAAAGCGUCCGCAGGUGGCGAUGUAAGUCUGCUGUUAAAUAGUGAGGCUCAACCUCAUAAAGGCAGUGGAAACUACAUGGCUAGAGUGCGUUCGGGGCAGAGGGAAUUCCUGGUGUAGCGGUGAAAUGCGUAGAGAUCAGGAAGAACACCGGUGGCGAAAGCGCUCUGCUAGGCCGCAACUGACACUGAGGGACGAAAGCUAGGGGAGCGAAUGGGAUUAGAUACCCCAG